UUUGAACAUUAAAAAAAAGUAGAAGAGCCAUUAUGGUAUUUUAGCGAGGGGAAAUUAUGUUAAGGAAUCAAUCCAAUGGUUCGCACCUAAAUCCGAUAGGGGGAGAUAGCGCCUCUGUUUAGUGUUUAUUUACCUCUUCAGUUCACUUCGUUCUGGGCUUCUUCAUUUUCCCUUUGCCACGGACAUCCCCCGAAAGCAAAACCUGCAAAAACUUUCUUCCAUACCUCUCGAUUUGAAUGGAUCCUCUCUCGGUGCUCCGGGACUUCACGAUUCGCGGCGAGCUAGACAAGAUAGUUCGGGUCAAUGAUGAGUAUCGAUUCGGCUCCGAGUACGUAUUUCCUUGUAGCGCCGAGACAGCGUAUCGAUCCAAGCAAGGCAAUCUCUACACAUUGGAGGCCUUGGUUCACUAUGUCCAGAAUCAGCACCUCAAGCACGGCGAGUACAUGCACUACACCGUCAAGAACAGUGUCCCCGCCGUCACCCUCCCCGACCGUAAGCCCCUGCUCGAUUAUCUCACCGGCAAGGUGGCCUCAUCCGAUUCCAUUGAGUUCCUUCUUCCCCAGCAACAUCCCCCUCAAUCAAACCAACAGCCCCACUAUCAUAAUUCCUUACCUGCUAUAUCAGCACCAGCAGCUGAUGAGUAUCGCCCAGAUGACGAUUCCAUGUUUCCCGUGGCUCCCAGCUUGAUGGAGAACAUUGGUUCGGCUAAUUCUGUUGAACUCUCGACCUACAUACCAGCGAUCAAGUCUGUGGAAAAACCAUUGAAGAACCGGGAGGCCAUUUUGGAGUGCAGGAACAGGGAUUUCUAUAGCGUGUUUGUAGCUUCGACGAGGAGAGAAGAGGAGCGGCAGAGGAUCGAGUCGCAGCAGAGGAAAGAUGGGCUUGUGGCGAAGAGCAGGUUAAUGGGUGCGGAUGAGAGGGGCUUAGGUUACGGUGGUGGGGAUGAUAUUGGAUAUGAUGCGACUCCAAAACCUAAGCUUCACCUGAAGGGAGGCAAGAUUGGGGAAGGAGUGCCGAUAAUUCUGGUGCCCAGCGCGUUCCAGACGUUGAUCACCAUAUACAAUGUGAAGGAGUUCUUGGAGGAUGGGAUAUACAUUCCAACUGAUUUGAAGGUGAAACAGAUGAAGGGGGUUAGGCCGGACUGCGUCACCGUGCAGAAGAAGUUCAGUAGGGACAGGGAGAGGGUCGUGACGGCCUAUGAGGUAAGAGAUAAGCCGUCUGCGCUCAAGCCCGAGGACUGGGACAGGGUGGUGGCCGUUUUCGUUUUGGGCAAGGAGUGGCAGUUCAAAGAUUGGCCAUUCAAGGACCAUGUUGAGAUUUUCAAUAAGAUUAUUGGAUUUUACAUGCGGUUUGAAGAUGACAGUUUGGAAUCAGCAAAGAAUGUGAAGCAGUGGAAUGUAAAGAUAAUCUCGAUUAGCAAGAACAAGAGACACCAGGACAGAGCUGCUGCACUGGAGGUCUGGGAAAAACUUGAAGAAUUUGUGCGGUCACGUUCGCAUUCUUAGAGACUGCAGCUCGUUGUAAGAAAUAUGUAUAUCAUGCCAAAGCCCGUCAAACUGGAUAUUAUAUGGUGCUGUGCUAUGUUAAUGAUUUCUCAUCUCUUUUGUGGGCUUAGUUGAUGGAAAUGAAUAGGGGGGGGCUGAUUUGAGCUUUAUAAUGUUAUCUGGAUGCUCUUGCCACAUUGAAUUAAAAAUACUGCUUAAGUUAAUACUUUCUGGAACAAGGAUGGAGGUGGAAACUAUGGCCUACAGCAAUGUGCAUGUAUAAGGUUCAGGGCAAAGAGGAUGCCUUCCACAACACACAAUAUGCAUGUAUCAAACCGUGGUCUGUUUCAGCUGUCAGCUUCAAAAACUCUGCUGGAAUGUGUUCUAUGUUCAGAGUACAGAUUUUGGCUUCCAGCAUGAUAUGAGGUCGGUUCUUAAGAUACUUUUUCUCCAUUGUGGGUUGAUGUUAAUUUCUGCUAGAGAAUUUAGGAAAUCAGCAAGCUUUGAUACAUAAAAUUUUAUGUUCUUGUAUAUGAAUUAACAGAAAGAACUUGUUUAGCAGUGCGACUCCUUAUUUUGUUCGGUAUACAUGCUAAAGCCUGGUGGAAUGGUGUUUGUUUCUUCUCA